rnacentral:rRNA from 1 species
GAUGAACGCUAGCUACAGGCUUAACACAUGCAAGUCGAGGGGCAGCGCUGGGGAUGCUUGCAUUCCCUGGCGGCGACCGGCGGAUGGGUGAGUAACGCGUAUCCAACCUGCCCCUGUCCCGGGGACAGCCCUUAGAAAUGAGGAUUAACCCCCGAUGGUGUGGAUUUGCCGCAUGGUGUUUCCACUAAAUGUGAAGGACAGGGAUGGGGAUGCGUUCCAUUAGGUUGCAGGCGGGGUAACGGCCCACUUGGCCGACGAUGGAUAGGGGUUCUGAGAGGAAGGUCCCCCACACUGGUACUGAGACACGGUCCAAACUCC